UACACACCGCCCGUCACACCAUGGGAGCGGGAUGUACCAGAAGUAGGUAGGCUAACUCGCAAGAGGGCCGCUUACCACGGUGCGUUUCGUGACUGGGGUG
rnacentral:rRNA from 1 species